rnacentral:lncRNA from 1 species
GAAAACCACUCUCUGUCUCAUGGGAGCAGAACGCUAAGGUGGAAACUGCUUGCAGCCUGGGCUCCGCCAUGGCCCACAGCGAGCUUCAGAAGUGAAGGGCAGGCAUCUCAUUUUGUUUUGCUGCUGUUUUAUUUUCAACAAAAAAAGGCUCUGUUUAUGGUGACGUUGGUUUUCAAACGACCUUGGAACUCAUUGUCACUCGCUCCUCAGAGCCUGAGGAUUAAAGAGGACUGGAAGACUUAGGACAAGGGACAGGGAGCAACUCGGCCUCCCCUCUUCUUCCGAUACUGCUCGGGCUUCCUCAGAUGGAAGGCGGGAAGGAGAGUCUGGGAAAAGUCGUCACCUAAGGCAGUGUGAUUCCAGCCAAAACAUCUGACAAAAGCCACAUUAAGGAAGGAGGGGUGUACUGAGGCUGCAAUCCAUCAUGGCGGGGAAGGUAUGGCAGCAGGAGCGGGAAAAUGCCCCCCAAAACUCACACAGUAAUAUAUUGAAUGGUUCUAUUUCUAUGAAAUGCCCGUGAUAGACAAAUCCACACAAAGAAAGAAGCCAGGUGGGUGAACCUAGGGAUGGGGGAACCAGGAGUGGAGUAAGGAGCUGGUAGCUGAGGAGAGGGUCCUAAAGUCGCCUGUGGUGAUGGCCACCCACCUAUGAAUACACCGAGAGCCUCUGAAUUACAUUCCCUAAGGUAGCUUCCAGGGGUGGGAGCAGCGAUUGAGGUUCGUCCUUAGCUGCCCCAAUGACUUAGCAUAUGGUGCUAAUAAGUGAUCAAGGAUUGGAUGGCUUGACUGAUCUUGGCUGAGUUUGUGUGUCUGAGCACCUGAAGAGAUGGCUCAGAGGAGUGAUAGACAGUGUCUACACACGUAUUAUAGUGGUUUGAUGCCCUCUUUGAAACACACAGUAAUCUCUCCAUGCUGUCUUUCAUCAGGCUAGACGCGGAGGAAUGUCAGUCCUUUCUUUAGGCAAAAGCAAGUCACGAUCAAAGUUCUGAAUAAAACAGGGUGUGUGACUAUUACUAUUA